ACAGUUCUUGCAAGAUUGUUUUAUUUAGCAAAGGGUCUAAGGUGUUCUGCUAAUUGGGUGUAGUGUU